rnacentral:rRNA from 1 species
UACAGAGGUGGCAAGCGUUGUUCGGAAUUACUGGGCGUAAAGGGCGCGUAGGCGGUUCGUUAAGUCCUGUGUGAAAUCCCCCGGCUCAACUGGGGAACUGCACAGGAAACUAGCGGGCUUGAGUUCGGGAGAGGGAAGCGGAAUUCCGGGUGUAGCGGUGAAAUUCGUAGAUAUUCGGAAGAACACCAGUGGCGAAGGCGGCCCGCUGGACAGGUAUUGACGCUGAGGUGCGAAAGCGUGGGGAGCAAACAGG